UAGAAAGUAAAGUAGGGAAACCCUAAAAUCUCUCGCUGCCUCCUUGGACUCCUGGAGAGUGGAGACGCCAUUGCCGCUCACGAGGAGGAACAUCAACGUCGAUGCAGCAGAUCAACCGCCAGUCCGCCACCUCUCGCUGCUGCCGACGACGUAGAAGGUCAGACGCCACCUCCCGCUCCCUCUCCCUGCCGCCGUUGCUGACGCAGCAGAUCAACCGCCAGUCCGCCACCUCCCGCUUCCGCCGAAGACAUACUUACUGGGAACUCAAGAAAUGGACUGUUGAUUUGAAUCAGUAUGCAUGUGAAAGCUUGAGGUUAAACCAUCCAGAGACAAAUGAGAUAAGCCACCUGAAACACUUGUGUGUUGCCUAAGGCCCUACCAGAAACAAGCUCUUUACUGGAUGUCAGAAUUGGAGAAGGGAACUGAGGCAGAGCAAACGACCAAAGUUUUGCAUCCAUGUUGGGCAGCAUAUCGAAUUUGUGAUGAGAGGGGUUCUGCAAUUUAUGUGAACAUUUUCUCUAGUGAAAACAAGAUGGGUACAGAUGCUAUGGGCCUGGGGAAAACUGUAAUGACAAUUGCUCUGCAACUGCAAUUAUAACAGCUCCUGUAUUAAAGGGGCAGGAAGUAGUGGAGGCUCAUAUAUUAGUUGAAAACUUGACCCAACAGCUUACAAGAGUUUCUGAAAGCAUAAAUGAUAGAAGCAAGAAGCUCAAACAGAUCAAAGAGGAAAAAGACGACUUGAAGGUAGGUGUGGUGUAUCUUAUGAAAUUGAGCUUACUAAGUUUUUGACUGUUUUGUCAUUGGUCUACAAAGUUACUAUGAAUGUAGGCUAUGGAAGAAAAUUAUCAGGAUACCCUUCAGGAGGAGGAGAGAGAAUUGGAGCAACUCUUAAAUAAAAGGAAAACCUAUCUUGCAAAACAAAAUGAGUAUUCGAAGAAGAUUCGAGAAAAAGGUAUGCCAAGAUCAAAAAGGUUCAUGGAUAUGAGAGUCGGCCAAGGUCUUAACAACAAUCUUCUACGUCAACACACGAGCAAUUGUUGAAUGAUGCACCACAUGAAGAUACAUUUCCAAAUCAUGAACAAACUCAUGAUAAUGAUACACCUCAAGAGCAAACUCAGGAUGAAACACCACAAGAGCAGUGCUAAUGGGUUGAAAGAUGGAAUGAACACAGGGAGACUGGGACUUUCCCUAGGCCACUUUAACUUGAUGUGGAUUUAGACAAUGUUUAUCAUCUUGUUAUGAAAUUUGGCCUUUUGAUUUCCUUUUGAAUGUCAAUGGAUUAAUAAGCA